AUUUUCCCCAUCUCCCAUUUUCUCUUCCCUGAGUGGCGGGUAGGGUUAGCGCGAUCGCCGCCUCAUCCCCGCACGCAACCUCUCCUUUCGGCUCUCCUCCGCGGCUCCGCCUCCUCCUCUGGCGGCAUCCAACCCAUCGUCUUCUCCUACUUCCCUCUCUUAUUCUUCUGUGCCUCGACGAGGUGGGCAAGCCGGUGCACACACAAAGGGUGGUUGCGGCUGUGGCUCCGAUGCGGGCGCCGUGGAGGUGGAGUCGGAGCUGCAGCAGAAGGAGGUGGACGGCCGCGACAACAGCUUUAGCUUCGAUGAGUUCCAUCACCUCCAUUGCUAUCUCAGGUUAGCCGAUUAAUGUAUUUGAUUGCUGGCCCUUUUGUGUUGGCUGAUGGUGGCGAGAUGAAAUAAGAAUUAAACCUGAUGCUGGGACAAUAAGUAUUUGUACUAUAGAUCCACUAAAGAUUGUAUUGAAAUAGCAGGCUACAUAUCUAUCUAAUAUGCAUCUGUGGUACAAGGUGAAUCUUGUUUCCUGAUAGAGAACAAUAAAGAUAAGUUGGUGACACAAAGUACUGAAUAAAAAACACUUCUAAUGAUCUAUAUAAUGUGAAAUCUUUUUUUAUGUGUAGAUUUAUCGAAUAAUAUCAUAAUUCUGAUAUGUAGUUUCCUCCUGUUGGGUAUCUCACGUAGCAUGAUAUGAAGCUUCUGAAUAAUUGGUUGCAGAGUUAUCGUAUGUGUCUUGGAGUUCCAAACUUCACAUUCAUUGAGCUUAAUUUUUAUAUAUCGCUUAUGUCUUUCCAGUCAUGCAGUCGCAGGUUCUCCAUUUCAUGAUUUUAAUAGUUGACGGGGUGAGAAAUUUCAUGGCAAGAGCCAUGGUUUAUCUCAGAUGUGUAAAGGGAAAUAUAUUUGUUGACCCAAAAAUCACACUAUACUGUUGCAAUUUCUCUGUUGAAAAGGUAUGCAGAAGCCAAUAGUACACAAAAUAUUUCUGUCGCCUAGAGAUUUACUGGUUGUCUAAAAAAGCACCCAAAACUGAUUGAAAAAGAAAUAGAUGCUGCUAAGUUGCAUCCAUUUGAUAUUUAGGGAUGUCGCAAGAUUGUACAUAUUCAGUUCCAAUAAGAAUAACAUUUAUCCCAACCUAUGUCUUUGCAGUGCCUUGACUAUAGCAAAAUUGGCCUCCCGUGCUAUGAUGACGCGAAGAAUGGGACAAUUUGCUCGAUCAGUUUCAAAUCAGAAACAAGAAAUUUGAGAAAUUCGUUGGAUAAGUACUAAUAUGGUGCUUUUCUAAGAAAAUUAUAUGAUUAUUAAUGCAGGUCCAUGCUCUACUCUGAUGGCUGAGGUUGGAUACACUUGCUACAUGUUUAUUUAAUUUUAUUCUAUUGGAGGAUUCAAACUCUAGACUGAUGAAGUGGUGCAUUUUGAAUUUUCUUCUUAGAUAUUGUGAAUGGUCUACUGAAGGUAUCAAUAAUAAUACAUAGUUUACAUAGUCAAGAUUCAUACUUUCCUUAUUACAUGUUGGUUUAUAUCCCCUACAUAUGUGAUGUGUGUUUAGCUUAUCAACUAUUCUUAAGUGAAUCUUAUGUGGUAUUGCAGGACUAACUUUUCUUUAGACAAUUUUGUAAUCUUUAGUUCAUUUUGGGUCAUUUCCAUUGCCUGUUAGUGUUUUUCGCUAGAGUGCUUUGCAGGCAGUUGUUUGAAAUAGAACCUUCCAGCCAUCUUACUUCUCCAAUAGUACUUUCUUGUUGAGUUUGGUUGGAUGUUCUCCAAAGUAAAUUUGGGAGAACAAUAAACCAUACUUUCUAUGUUUUGAAACUAGAGCUGGCCAUGAUUAAUUCUUUUCAAGUUGAUAGUCUAUCAGAGUUUGAAUUUGCUUUUGUAUAGAAAUAUGGAAGUAUAUUAUUUCAUCAUAUUUUUCCUAAAGUAGCUUCUGAUUUGUUCACAUUUGUAGAACUACACAAUCUGCACAUUCCUUCUCUUCUCCUAAUCAAUUUCAUCUCAAAUUAGGCUUUAUCCCCUGAUUAGCAUUCUGAGCUACUUAAAUUUCUUCGCCCACAUGUUUGAUUUAGGUUUUUGUUUAGACAUGACAAAUGUUUGCAAGUUAUAGACGCCGCGCCUGCCGCUGUCGGGGAGCUCCUGCCUGCGCUGCAAGCCUCAUGACCUUGCAAACUCGCUUGUGCUGCUUAAACGAUACGGCCUCUCCCUACUCAGGAUGGACUGCUUCGUGUAGAUUCACUCUUCUUUGCCUGAAGGCUCCUGUGUAUCCAGGACCGGCACAAGGAAAAUUCUGGGAUGAAUAAAAAAAAGCGAAAAUGCAAAUAGAUGAGAAAUCCCAACUUAUUCCUUUGGCCAUUUCUGUAACUAAAGCUAUUGGCUGGCCAACACAAAGGAGCUGAAAUUUCAUAGCGACAAAAAUAGGUGCUGGAGGUACCAUGCAAGCAAGCAUGGCGACCGGGAUCAUGCUGCAGUGGCUGGGUAUAUCCCCUCCCGCUAGCUGAGGAUGGGCUCGAUCAUGGUGCUCCUACCCUUACACAUGUAUAUUCCCACAUUGAACUCGAUUAUUGCAAUGAUUGGGUUGAUUUGGACAUACUGUGCCUUGAAUGACUUUUCCCGUUGGGCAAUUCAAAUGAUGGAAGCCUCUUCGGACCCUUCCACCUCUCCGGCCUCACCACUGGAGACUCGGAUGCGAGAACCGCCACCGCCGCUGCCGUGUCUGUCGGUGACGCUCACACAAGAAUCCAGAGGCAGUACCUUGGUCCUCUCCCUGAGAACAACAGCUCUCUCAUGAUGCGCAGUCGCGGCCUGAGGGUGGCGGGACUCACGCCACCGUCCAUGCCAUGUUCUGGCUGAUCCCCAAGGCUCCUUGCCGAUGUCCAACCAGCGCCACACAGCCAAUGGUACUGCCGAUAUGAGGACGCUCACCCCCGUGUUGAUCGAGCUUUUUGACCUGAGCCUGAUGGACAAGGUCAUACGGGCAUCUGAUUUUGAUUUCCUAUGUGCUCUCUUUUCACAAGUGUAGCUUUUUGUGUUAUAAAACUAUGCUACCGAUUGUUCUUUGUUGAUAUUUCCCUACUUGUGUCCUGAUUAAUGGAUCUAAGGUAGUUAGAAGUCACUGAAUAACUACUUAUACUAUUGUGUCAGCCGUCACUGGCUACAAUUGUUUAUAUGAUACUUGUACUAUUAUA